AAUCCAUAGGUUAAUGAGGCGAACCGGGGGAACUGAAACAUCUAAGUACCCCGAGGAAAAGAAAUCAACCGAGAUUCCCCCAGUAGCGGCGAGCGAACGGGGAGGAGCCCAGAGCCUGAAUCAGCAUGUGUGUUAGUGGAAGCGUCUGGAAAGGCGCGCGAUACAGGGUGACAGCCCCGUACACAAAAGCGCAUGUGCUGUGAGCUCGAUGAGUAGGGCGGGACACGUGGUAUCCUGUCUGAAUAUGGGGGGACCAUCCUCCAAGGCUAAAUACUCCUGACUGACCGAUAGUGAACCAGUACCGUGAGGGAAAGGCGAAAAGAACCCCGGCGAGGGGAGUGAAAAAGAACCUGAAACCGUGUACGUACAAGCAGUGGGAGCCCCACCACCAAAGCAUUCUCUGGUGUUGAAGGCCCUGCAAAGCAGCAUCGCGGUGGCGGAGCGUCGUUUGCGACGCCCGACACACAAAACAAGCGGUGAGUGCUUUGGGGUGGGGUGACUGCGUACCUUUUGUAUAAUGGGUCAGCGACUUAUAUUCUGUAGCAAGGUUAACCGUAUAGGGGAGCCGGAGGGAAACCGAGUCUUAAUUGGGCGUUAAGUUGCAGGGUAUAGACCCGAAACCCGGUGAUCUAGCCAUGGGCAGGUUGAAGGUUGGGUAACACUAACUGGAGGACCGAACCGACUAAUGUUGAAAAAUUAGCGGAUGACCUGUGGCUGGGGGUGAAAGGCCAAUCAAACCGGGAGAUAGCUGGUUCUCCCCGAAAGCUAUUUAGGUAGCGCCUCGUGAAUUCAUCUCCGGGGGUAGAGCACUGUUUCGGCUAGGGGGUCAUCCCGACUUACCAACCCGAUGCAAACUGCGAAUACCGGAGAAUGUUAUCACGGGAGACACACGGCGGGUGCUAACGUCCGUCGUGAAGAGGGAAACAACCCAGACCGCCAGCUAAGGUCCCAAAGUCAUGGUUAAGUGGGAAACGAUGUGGGAAGGCCCAGACAGCCAGGAUGUUGGCUUAGAAGCAGCCAUCAUUUAAAGAAAGCGUAAUAGCUCACUGGUCGAGUCGGCCUGCGCGGAAGAUGUAACGGGGCUAAACCAUG
rnacentral:rRNA from 1 species